UUUUUUUGAAGUUAUAAGAAGUUUGGCCUGCUCACUGAAUAAUAAUUUAAGAGCUGCGGUAUUUUGACUGUACAAAGGUAGCAUAAUAAUUAGUUUUUUAAUUGGGAACUAGAAUGAAUGGUUAGACAAAAAAAAAACUGUCUUUGCUGUUAAAAUAGAAUUUAACCUUUAAGUGAAAAGGCUUAAAUAUCACAAUGGGACGAUAAGACCCUAAAAGUUUUAUAUUAAAAUUAUAAUAAUAAAAAUGAAUAUAAAUAUUUAUGUAAAAUGUAAUAUUUUGCUGGGGCGGCAUGUUAAAAAUUCUUGUUAACUUUUCAUAUACUAAUCAAAUAUAUUUGUAAAUUAAUAGAUCCUUUCUAAAGAUCAAAAGAAAAAUUACUUUAGGGAUAACAGCGUUAUUUUUUUUGAGAGUUCAUAUCGAAAAAAAAGAUUGCGACCUCGAUGUUGAAUUAAAAUUUCUAUAAAGUGUAGC
rnacentral:rRNA from 12 species